UUAAAAGUAGUGAACCCCCAACUAAAAAUACAAAAAUUAGCCAGGCGUGGUGGCACGUGCCUGUAAGCCCAGCUACUCGGGAGGCUGAGGCAGGAGAACUGCUUCAACCUGGGGGAUGGACGUUGCAGAUAGCCGCGAUCACGCUGCUGCACUCCAGCUGGGGCAACAGAGCGAUACUCCAUCUCAAAUAAUAAUAAUAAUAAUAAUAAUAAUAAUAAUAAUAAUAAUAAUAAAAACUGCUCAAUACCUGCGUGAUGGGAUCCGUACUCCAAACCUCAGAUCACGCAGUAUUCCCACAUAACAAAUCUGCACAUGUACACCCUGUAUCUAAAACAAGAGUUGAAAUUAGCAAAACGAGUGUGCCCUUGUCCCAGGCCUUCUCCCAGGGCCUGGGAAUGAGGAAUCUAAACCACGGUGAAGCCACCUCUGCUAAUGAUGUUUGUUUUUUACCUUAAAUGUUACUUUUUUUUUUUUUUUUUUUUUUUUUUGGCAAAAGGAAUGUGAGACAGUCUUCUUCAGGAAGGUAGUCCGUGUCCCCCUCCAUCAGUGCCUUCAGGUGCUGGGCAUUUCAGUUUACAGCCCUGCUCCCUCUGCGUCCUUGCUGCCUGUAGGUCCUGGCUCAGUCCUGGUGACUUCCAGGUCAUUUCCUCCCUCGCCCUGACCAUGCCAGGCCCAGCCUCUUUCACUCAAGCCAGGGCUUCCUCUGGGCCAGUCUGCGCCAGGCUUCUCCGUGUGCCCCCCGCCGCCUGCCCUCCCGCCGCUGUCUUAGCCGCACCCCAGGACCUCCCAGGGCGCUCAGCAGUUCCGCCUCUGUUUCCAGCAGCUUCUCCACACCUCCGUCUUCCCACCGUGCAGCCUGGACGCCAGGCCUGUCGCUUGCAGCCCUCUCGGGACCUUCUGGCCUCCCGGGGAUUCUUGCACAAGCUGACCAUUUCCUUAUCCUCGCAACUGCAAAAGUCUCCUACUGAACAAACUGAAUGAAGGAGGAUUUGUGUGGAAUAAUACAGCUGAACAGCUGAAAGCUCCUGUUCAUCUGCCGUGUAUGGGUAUUAUCAUUUACUGGUGGGUGGUUUUCUGAGAGAGAUGGGACUUCUUAUUUUAAUUAAAUUAAUUAAUUAAUUAAUUUAAGUAGAGACAGAGUCUCGCUCUGUCCCCCAGGCUAUAGUUCAG
rnacentral:lncRNA from 1 species